UACGUAGGGGGCAAGCGUUAUCCGGAUUUACUGGGUGUAAAGGGAGCGCAGACGGCCAAGCAAGUCUGAAGUGAAAUGCAUGGGCUCAACCCAUGAAUUGCUUUGGAAACUGUUAGGCUUGAGUGUCGGAGGGGUAAGCGGAAUUCCUAGUGUAGCGGUGAAAUGCGUAGAUAUUAGGAGGAACACCGGAGGCGAAGGCGGCUUACUGGACGACAACUGACGUUGAGGCUCGAAGGCGUGGGGAGCAAAC
rnacentral:rRNA from 1 species